AUUGCUUCUCGGCCUUUUGGCUAAGAUCAAGUGUAGUAUCUGUUCUUAUCAGUUUAAUAUCUGAUACGUCCUCUAUCCAAGCUCUGUUUCCUCCAAUGUAAAAACAUGCAUU
rfam:Canis lupus familiaris chromosome 27, whole genome shotgun sequence.